rnacentral:rRNA from 1 species
UGAACGCUGGCGGCAGGCCUAACACAUGCAAGUCGAGCGGAUGAAGAGAGCUUGCUCUCUGAUUCAGCGGCGGACGGGUGAGUAAUGCCUAGGAAUCUGCCUGGUAGUGGGGGACAACGUCUCGAAAGGGACGCUAAUACCGCAUACGUCCUACGGGAGAAAGCAGGGGACCUUCGGGCCUUGCGCUAUCAGAUGAGCCUAGGUCGGAUUAGCUAGUUGGUGAGGUAAUGGCUCACCAAGGCGACGAUCCGUAACUGGUCUGAGAGGAUGAUCAGUCACACUGGAACUGAGACACGGUCCAGACUCCUACGGGAGGCAGCAGUGGGGAAUAUUGGACAAUGGGCGAAAGCCUGAUCCAGCCAUGCCGCGUGUGUGAAGAAGGUCUUCGGAUUGUAAAGCACUUUAAGUUGGGAGGAAGGGUUGUAGAUUAAUACUCUGCAAUUUUGACGUUACCGACAGAAUAAGCA